GUGCUUUAGCCGCACACAUACUAAAAUUGGAACGGUACAGAGAAGAUUGGCAUGGCCUCUGUACAAGGAUGACCCACAAAUUUGUGAAGCGUUCCAUGUUUUU
rnacentral:snRNA from 1 species